AACGCGAAGAACCUUACCAACCCUUGACAUACCUGUCGUACUUUCCAGAGAUGGAUCGGUCAGCUCGGCUGGACAGGAUACAGGUGCUGCAUGGCUGUCGUCAGCUCGUGUCGUGAGAUGUUCGGUUAAGUCCGGCAACGAGCGCAACCCACAUCCUUAGUUGCCAGCAGUUCGGCUGGGCACUCUGAAGAAACUGCCUGUGAUAAGCAGGAGGAAGGUGUGGAUGACGUCAAGUCCUCAUGGCCCUUACGGGUUGGGCUACACACGUGCUACAAUGGUGGUGACAGUGGGAUAAUCCCCAAAAGCCAUCUCAGUUCGGAUUGGGGUCUGCAACUCGACCCCAUGAAGUCGGAAUCGCUAGUAAUCGCGUAACAGCAUGACGCGGUGAAUACGUUCCCGGGCCUUGUACACACCG
rnacentral:rRNA from 1 species